rnacentral:rRNA from 1 species
UACGUAGGGUGCAAGCGUUAAUCGGAAUUACUGGGCGUAAAGCGUGCGCAGGCGGUGAUGUAAGACAGGUGUGAAAUCCCCGGGCUUAACCUGGGAACUGCAUUUGUGACUGCAUCGCUGGAGUGCGGCAGAGGGGGAUGGAAUUCCGCGUGUAGCAGUGAAAUGCGUAGAUAUGCGGAGGAACACCGAUGGCGAAGGCAAUCCCCUGGACCCGUACUGACGCUCAUGCACGAAAGCGUGGGGAGCAAACAGG